GAUUCGGUCAGCGGCGGACGGGUGAGUAACACGUGGGCAACCUGCCCGCAAGACCGGGAUAACUCCGGGAAACCGGAGCUAAUACCGGAUAACACCGAAGACCGCAUGGUCUUYGGUUGAAAGGCGGCCUUUGGGCUGUCACUUGCGGAUGGGCCCGCGGCGCAUUAGCUAGUUGGUGAGGUAACGGCUCACCAAGGCGACGAUGCGUAGCCGGCCUGAGAGGGUGACCGGCCACACUGGGACUGAGACACGGCCCAGACUCCUACGGGAGGCAGCAGUAGGGAAUCUUCCGCAAUGGGCGAAAGCCUGACGGAGCGACGCCGCGUGAGCGAAGAAGGCCUUCGGGUCGUAAAGCUCUGUUGUGAGGGACGAAGGAGCGCCGUUCGAAGAGGGCGGCGCGGUGACGGUACCUCACGAGAAAGCCCCGGCUAACUACGUGCCAGCAGCCGCGGUAAUACGUAGGGGGCGAGCGUUGUCCGGAAUUAUUGGGCGUAAAGCGCGCGCAGGCGGUCUCUUAAGUCUGAUGUGAAAGCCCACGGCUCAACCGUGGAGGGUCAUUGGAAACUGGGGGACUUGAGGGCAGGAGAGGAGAGCGGAAUUCCACGUGUAGCGGUGAAAUGCGUAGAGAUGUGGAGGAACACCAGUGGCGAAGGCGGCUCUCUGGCCUGCACCUGACGCUGAGGCGCGAAAGCGUGGGGAGCAAACAG
rnacentral:rRNA from 1 species